UACUUAUCUGGAGAACGAAAUAUGUUUGGAUCGAAGAGAGCCCUAAUACGACUUCAGAUCGCGGCUAAAAGAAGAAAAAAAAAUCGAGGAUAUGCGAUUGAGAGAGACCAAAUAGUAAAGAAAAACAAAUGUGGCACUACUGAAAGGGUAGAAGAACACUUCCUAAGACACGUGUAGGGCUUGGGGUGGAGAGGAAGUGACUGGAAGUCACCGGAAAGAUUGUUU
rnacentral:lncRNA from 1 species